rnacentral:lncRNA from 1 species
AGGAUUUAAAAAUUUUUAGUUGUAACAUACAUUUAAUGUAACAUAAAUUUCGUCUUUUAUGAAAGAAUACAUGCUAGUUAUUCAUUACAAGUAAGAUAUACAAUCCCAAUUCCUUAUUAUAUACAGUGCAUAUUGUAUUGUAGGCGCUGCCAAUAGCUUAAACUUUAGAGAAAAUUAUAGGAAAAUUACUUGAAUUUUUUAUCCAUAAAUCUAAAGAAUGUUUUAUAAUUUCUUUGUUUCUCUUCUUCACACAAACUCAACAGUUCCUUUUUCAAUUCACACAAACACCAUUACAUCAAUAUUAAGUUCUAUGCAUUGAUAUUGGAUUUUGCUAUUUGCUUCCACGUUGGUGAACCAAAGGGCAUCCAGGGAGAUUGUCAAUUUUUCCUUUACUAAAAUCAUUAUUUACUACUAAUUUCCUAUUUUUUUUAUAAUAGCCAAUAAUUCCCGACAGCAUAGUUUUACAAUAUUACCCUUAUUU